AGCAGCAAAUUGCUCCCCUUGUCCCAGCCCCAAAUCCUAGUGAGAAUUGGUACCAAAUGACUUAAUGAAGGCAACACCACUGGGAAUCGACAAGGAAGCUUUAGAGUCCUGCAUGAAAUGUUUCAUCACAGGCAACAGCCCAUGCAAAAGGUCAUGUGAGCUUUUUGUUCUUGUGACAAAUCCUGUUGAAACAAACCCUGAGGACAUGAAGACUCGAUUCUCCAGUGACAUGGUACAGUGUCUUUGAAGAUGCCUCCACUAUGUAAAUAGUGAUCGGUUCUUCAAUCUCUUCCAGUCCUCAAACUUCUCUUGGGUUUGCUGCACCUCUUAAAUGAAGGAUCUGUUAAAGAAGAAAAUACCUCUCUAGUAUAACCUCUGACACCAUUUAUGUUGUGUGUUUAUACAAUUCAAACACUCCUUGCAGUUCUGCAAUACCUUCACUGGUUCCACUCGCUGGACCACUAGUUGUAACAGGAGUCACGACCCCUGCUGCAAGCUCCAGUGCUUGAACAUGUGAUGCUGAAUGGCAUCUUCACCUGGAUUUUCCAAAGAGCUGCUUGCUGUCUUCCCUUGAAAGAAGAGUCAGAAAGAAGACAUCAACUGUUUCUGUCUUUGGGAGUCAGGACCCUCACAGUUUUCAUCACCUCCUCUAUGGCUUAGGUAUCUGUACUCCCAGAGGCAAUAUGGUUUCCUCGGACAUUGGCAACCAUCUGACGGAAAGUUUUUGUCUUCCCAUUGGCCAGCUGGCUUUAAAGGAGGGAGGAGGAGUGGAGGAUCCUCUUACCAAUAGAGCUGGUGAGCUGAUGUCGAUAUGGCUAAUGACCUGAAGCUCUGUCUGAACGCUUUGAUCAGGCAUCGUGGGCCUCUCCA